UUGGAGGGCAAGUCUGGUGCCAGCAGCCGCGGUAAUUCCAGCUCCAAUAGCGUAUAUUAAAGUUGUUGCAGUUAAAAAGCUCGUAGUUGAACCUUGGGUCUGGCUGGCCGGUCCGCCUCACCGCGAGUACUGGUCCGGCUGGACCUUUCCUUCUGGGGAACCCCAUGGCCUUCACUGGCUGUGGGGGGAACCAGGACUUUUACUGUGAAAAAAUUAGAGUGUUCAAAGCAGGCCUUUGCUCGAAUACAUUAGCAUGGAAUAAUAGAAUAGGACGUGCGG
rnacentral:rRNA from 1 species